rfam:Loxodonta africana unplaced genomic scaffold scaffold_65, whole genome shotgun sequence.
GCAGUGGUGGCUCAGUGCUAGAAUUCUCGCCUUCUAUGCAGGAGACUUGGGUUCAAUUCCCGGUCAAUGCA